GUUUGGUUACAGUUAUUGUGUAAUAAGUACUUACAUUCCAAAACUCUGGCACAAGUGACGGGACAACUGACUGACUCUUCUUUUUGGAAGGGGCUAAUGAGGACAAAUGUUUUCUUCUUCAACAGGAGCAAAUUCAUUGUGGGGAACGGAAACAACACUAGGUUUUGGGAAGAUACACGGGUGGGUGAGACCCCACUAACCUUGCAGAGUUGCAGUAUCCUUUCUUACUAG
rnacentral:rRNA from 1 species